CGGCGCAUAGUUCAGUUUGGUAGAACGCUUGCUUUGGGAGCAAGAGGUCGCAAGUUCAAAUCCUGCUGCGCCGACCA
rnacentral:tRNA from 1 species